rnacentral:rRNA from 1 species
CCUACGGGUGGCUGCAGUGGGGAAUAUUGGACAAUGGGCGAAAGCCUGAUCCAGCCAUGCCGCGUGUGUGAAGAAGGCCUUCGGGUUGUAAAGCACUUUCAGUGGGGAAGAAAGCCUUGGGGCUAAUACCCUCGAGGAAGGACAUCACCCACAGAAGAAGCACCGGCUAACUCCGUGCCAGCAGCCGCGGUAAUACGGAGGGUGCGAGCGUUAAUCGGAAUUACUGGGCGUAAAGCGCGCGUAGGCGGUCUGAUAAGCCGGUUGUGAAAGCCCCGGGCUCAACCUGGGAACGGCAUCCGGAACUGUCAGGCUAGAGUGCAGGAGAGGAAGGUAGAAUUCCCGGUGUAGCGGUGAAAUGCGUAGAGAUCGGGAGGAAUACCAGUGGCGAAGGCGGCCUUCUGGACUGACACUGACGCUGAGGUGCGAAAGCGUGGGUAGCAGACAGGAUUAGAUACCCCAGUAGUC